UACGUAGGGGGCAAGCGUUGUCCGGAUUUAUUGGGCGUAAAGAGCGUGUAGGCGGUUGGGUAGGUCCGUUGUGAAAACUCGAGGCUCAACCUCGAGACGCCGAUGGAAACCCCCCAGCUAGAGUCCGGAAGAGGAGAGUGGAAUUCCUGGUGUAGCGGUGAAAUGCGCAGAUAUUGGGAAGAACACCGGUGGCGAAGGCGGCGACCUGGUCCUUUUACUGACGCUGAGGCGCGAAAGCGUGGGGAGCAAACAGG
rnacentral:rRNA from 1 species